rnacentral:ncRNA from 2 species
CCGCCCCUCGGAGGCUUUGACACCCGUUUCCUGUAUAUGGGCGCUUGGGAGCGGGUCGAGCCAGUAGCGCAACCGGCCGAGGGGAGC